GCCCGCCGAGUCUUGUUAUCUUUCCCCUUCAAUCGUUAAAUUGAUUGUUUACUAUUUUUUGUUUACUAUUUUUCAUUGUGAGUUAUAUGUUUAUUGUACCAUUUGAAGAGACAUUUCAAUGAAUUAGUUAUAUAUUUUAAUGUUGUUGAUUGGUUUUUUUUAUUUUGAUGCUUGCCUAGAAUGGAUUUUGAUUAUGGAUCCAUUGAAUGUAAAGUAAUCAAUCAAGCCAGUCUGUCAAUCACUCAUUCAUUAUAUCUAUCCUGAAUGAAAAGGUAUACAAAAAGGGCCAUGGAGAAAACUUUUCUUUACACUAUUUUAUUUCGUUGCUAUUUAAGAAUCGAUAUUUUUUAACUGUUUGUGUUGGUUUUCUGAAUCUAUGGAUCAUUCUUCACGCAAAACUCAGUUUUUUCAAUCCGAAACAAAUUUGCAAUCUUUUCCAGCAGAUUUGACAAAGAUUGCUAUUUUAGUAAUGGUAGACUUGAUGAUAUUUAACUUGAUGAAUCUCAAGAUACUGAAAGUUUUUUUUGGCCUUCACUGUAUUUACAAUAUUGUUUUCUUUCGCCAAAGGGUUAACCCAAUUGGUUUAAGUUAUUGCACAAGUGAAGUCAAAUUUAUUGCUUACCAUUGGAAUGUUUCCGGUUAUUUCAUGAUCUGACCAUUUUACCAUCUAAUAUCUCUUCAUUUCCACUACAAUGCAGAUUGGAUGAUGGACUGACCAACUGUGAACUCUCAAAGCAACUAUGUGACCCUAAAACUAUCUUGUCUUCUUGACCAAAAUCUGAUGAUAUGGUAAUCUGAUGAAGAUGAAAUUAAUCGCUCUCGACCUUUACCAUUUUUCCUUCUAAUCUUCUUUCUCUCUGAAUCUUUUUUCAACUCAUUUUCCUUUUCUUUAACCUAUCCAUCCCCCAAACUCACUCGUUAUAUCAAUUCCUUUUUACUGUUAUUCUAUCCAACUCACUUAGAGCUUGGAGUGCCAUUUAAUAUUGCCAGUUAUUCGCUUUUUUACUCACAUCAUUGCUCAUAUUACAGAUCUAAGAGAAGGGGAAUCUAUCUAUCAAAUAGAUGCUCAUAUUUAUUUGAAUCAUAUUGAUCCGCUUAACAUUCAAGUUAAUUUUGAUAAGCUUUGACAUCUUCUGUCUCAUUUUCUCAAAUCUGAUUAAAAAGGUUUCUAUUUA